UUUCCGUAGGUGAACCUGCGGAAGGAUCAUUAUUGUAUCAUCGAGGUGCGAGGGCUGUCGCUGAGCCGACUGUUCGUGCACGCCCGAGUGCCCUCACACACAUCCAUCUUACCCCUAUGUGCACCACCGCGUGGGUCCCCCUUUGGCUUGUUCGGAGGGGGGCUUACGUUUUCACACAAACUUUGUAUGCAGUGUAGAAUGUAUUUUUUGUUUUUGCGAUCACGCAAUCAAUACAACUUUCAACAACGGAUCUCUUGGCUCUC
rnacentral:misc_RNA from 1 species